UUUCUUUUUCUUUUAUUUUCCUUUCUUUUCCAUUCUUUUCCUUUCUUUUUUUUUUCCUUCUAUAUCAGCUAAUUAGACUUUGUCAACUUGGCUUCAGAGCACAUAAUCUUUUUGCAGUCUAGACCUACCCUCACUAUUAGGGGGUACAAUUUCUAAGCCAGAAAUACCAGCCUAUAUUUUUAGCUGGGACUGGCUCCCCUGCAUGAUUUGCCACAACUGACACCUAACGUAGCUGGAGUGGAGCGGCUGUGAAUCUACUUAGUGUUGGUCUUGCAAAAGUCAGUGGAAACAGCUGAUCCCCUUAAAAAGAGAACAGAAUCAGUGUUUCACUGCACAUUUCUGCCAGUGAAACUCCUCUGCCUCAUACUAGUAUAAACUGAACUUAGGCAGUAGUGAAUCAGACCUAAUAUGUUUAGUACUUGUAUGCUAAAUUUAUGAGGCACCCAGUGACAUUUGCCUUAUGUAUAAUGGUAGCACUCCCAGCAGGCUGAUCUAAUCAUUCAUGAGGAAUUACAGUACAGUGUUGGAGUUUAUUUAAUGCUUAAUGUUCACAACAACCUCCUGCACUGAUUCUAAUCUGGUUACUGCACACAUUGUGAAGCAGAUCUCUGCAGAGGCGCAGCAGCAGAAGAGAUCAACCACAUCCCGUGCAGCGUGGCAUGUAUCAGCAAUGCAAGGUUGUGCUGUUUCUCUGACAAGCAGAGGAAGCUGGGUUGAUUCACACACCAGAGUGAUUCCUCUCACCAAGACGCUUAGGAAUGCACCAAAGGAAACCAGGCUUUCUCUGCAGGCUUCCUCUGAGCAACAGGAUUACUGCAAGGCAAAACCAGGCCUGCGGCUGGGCCCGAAGCCACAGCAGACACAGCAGCAGCACUAGGGCCUCAGGGUUAGGCCCAGAGAGCAAGGGCGGAUGAAGCUUUGUGCAGAGAAAAAAGGAAAAUCUGUUAAAAAUGGAUAGGUCACUGCCAUUUCUACCAGAAAUUACCAAGAUUGCUCUCCACUGCAUUGGACUCUCCUAUGCCAAUUUUACCAGAAAAAAUUCCUUGAGAAAUCAGUGGAUCACUAUUGUAGGCGGGAGCUUUCAUCACCAUAUUGAGUAAGCAACAAUGUUCAUGUCAAUCUCCUGCCUUUGGAUCAUGGAAGAAGGCAUGUGCAGAAUAAGGAUGGAUUGCCUUAGUCCUUCACCAUUAAGAGAAACAAACUAGUCUCAUGCAGUUUGGGAUGUAUGGGCAUCUCUCCCGUGCUCCUGCUGUCUUCUCAGUCUCCUCUGCCAUCUCCAGAAGGAAAGACCAUAAAAGCCUACACGCUCAGCAGGAAAUAAGACUCAAAGGCAUUUCCUACGCGCCUUCAUGUUACCCUUUCGUCUGCUCCCAAAAAACAGCAA